AACGAACGCUGGCGGCAUGCCUAACACAUGCAAGUCGAACGAGACCUUCGGGUCUAUUGGCGCACGGGUUCGUAACGCGUGGGAACCUGCCCUUAGGUUCGGAAUAACUCCCCGAAAGGGGUGCUAAUACCGGAUAAUGUCUUCGGACCAAAGAUUUAUCGCCUUUGGAUGGGCCCGCGUUGUAUUAGCUAGUUGGUAGGGUAAAAGCCUACCAAGGCGACGAUCCAUAGCUGGUCUGAGAGGAUGAUCAGCCACACUGGGACUGAGAAACGGCCCAGACUACUACGGGAGGCAGCAGUGGGGAAUAUUGGAAAAUGGGCGAAAGCAUGAUCCAGCAAUGCCGCGUGAGUGAUGAAGGCCUUAGGGUUGUAAAGCUCUUUUAACCGGGAUGAUAAUGACAGUACCGGGAGAAUAAGCUCCGGCUAACUCCGUG
rnacentral:rRNA from 1 species